AACGCAUCUUGCACCUAUUGACUUUGUCACUAGGUAUACUUGUUUGAGUAUCACAAAUCACUGCCAACAGUGUGUGUGCAGAGUAGUGGGGGAUAACGACUCUACUACUCUAUGCAUGGGGAGUGCUGUAGUAAGUGCGAGGGGAGGGCACGCUGCUACAAGCACACACAUCGUUGAGCGACAUGGGAAUGUGGACAACAACGCCUGUUGUGUCUACUCUCCUGAAAUGGAGGUCUCGUCGAGACACAUGCCUCUAAUGGGAUAACAUCUGCAUUGGGGGAGUGUCGACGGAUGCUGACCGAGUCGUGCGACUACCUGGGGAGAGUAGUGAGGCUCAACAUUACACUUAACUGAUCUCAAAUCAAGUAAGAGUACCCGCUGAACUUAA
rnacentral:misc_RNA from 1 species